AGUGAACGCUGGCGGUAGGCCUAACACAUGCAAGUCGAACGGCAGCGCAGUAAGAGCUUGCUCUUACGGGUGGCGAGUGGCGGACGGGUGAGGAAUACAUCGGAAUCUACUUUUUCGUGGGGGGUAACGUAGGGAAACUUACGCUAAUACCGCAUACGACCUACGGGUGAAAGCAGGGGAUCUUCGGACCUUGCGCGAUUGAAUGAGCCGAUGUCGGAUUAGCUAGUUGGCGGGGUAAAGGCCCACCAAGGCGACGAUCCGUAGCUGGUCUGAGAGGAUGAUCAGCCACACUGGAACUGAGACACGGUCCAGACUCCUACGGGAGGCAGCAGUGGGGAAUAUUGGACAAUGGGCGCAAGCCUGAUCCAGCCAUACCGCGUGGGUGAAGAAGGCCUUCGGGUUGUAAAGCCCUUUUGUUGGGAAAGAAAAGCAGCAGGUUAAUACCCCGCUGUUCUGACGGUACCCAAAGAAUAAGCACCGGCUAACUUCGUG
rnacentral:rRNA from 1 species